ensembl:lncRNA
GGGGAAGGGGGGUUGAGCUGGCGUCCCUCGGCCCCCCUCCAGGGUCCGGUCUGAGGGGUCCUUCCUUCAUUAGGGGCGGGGUGGGGGGGGGGGCCCUCAGCUGCCCCCCUGGAGGCCCUGCAGGGUGGUCUGCAGCCCGCUGCGGGCCCCGUCCACCGGCUCCAGGGCCUUGCUGUUGCUACGGAGACCAGACAACAGUCAGACAACAGUCAGACAACAGUCAUCACAGAUAAUGUAGAAAGAAACAACCCAAGAACAGCCGAGAGGUGCAGAGUGGUUUAACCCCCCGUGAGGUGCAGAGUGGUUUAACCCCCAGUGAGGUGCAGAGUGGUUUAACCCCCCGUGAGGUGCAGAGUGGUUUAACCCCCAGUGAGGUGCAGAGUGGUUUAACCCCCCGUGAGGUGCAGAGUGGUUUAACCCCCAGUGAGGUGCAGAGUGGUUUAACC